AAUGAACCUUAUUGGUGCACUGUGAGCGAUCAUCAUCUCUCCACUGGAUUCCCAUCGUCAACCUCCCGAACAUAUGCAUUUGCCCACCUUCUUCCCAAGGAGUUGAACAGAGAGGUUGUAGGUGGGGGGGGAAAAUGGCACAAAGCUCGCUGCUGUUGCUACUGUGGCUCUUCGACACAUCAUUCGCGGGAUUUCCUAAUCAGAUUAAUAUCGGGGGUCUCUUCAUGCGCUCCACCGUGCAGGAGCACAGCGCCUUCAGGUUCGCGGUGCAACUCUACAACACCAACCAAAAUACCACCGAGAAGCCUUUCCACCUCAACUACAACGUGGACAACCUGGAGUCCUCCAACAGUUUCUCGGUCACCCACGCGUUUUGCUCCCAGUUCUCCCGCGGAGUGUAUGCCAUCUUCGGAUUCUACGACAAGAAGUCCAUGAACACCUUGACGUCAUUCUGCGGAGCUCUUCAUACCUCCUUCGUCACACCCAGUUACCCCACCGACAACGAGGUGCAGUUCGUCAUCCAGAUGCGUCCUGCGCUCCGAGGGGCAGUCCUAAGUCUGAUCUCUCACUACAAGUGGCAGAAGUUUGUCUACCUCUACGACACAGACCGAGGCUUCUCCAUACUGCAGGCAAUCAUGGAGGCGGCGGUGGCCAACAACUGGCAGGUGACCGCUCGCUCCGUCAGCAGCACCACAGAUGCAGCAGAGUUCAAACGCAUCAUUGAAGAGAUGGACAGGAGGCAGGAAAAGCGCUUUGUGAUUGACUGUGAGGUGGACAGGAUCAACACCAUAUUAGAGCAGGUUGUGGCCCUGGGGAAGAACAGUCGUGGCUACCACUAUAUUCUGUCCAAUCUUGGAUUUUCUAAUGUGAGUUUGGACAAAGUGUUUGCUGGAGGAGCCAACAUUUCAGGCUUUCAAAUAGUCAACCCUGAGAACCCCAUUGUGCAGCAGUUUAUGCAGCGCUGGGAGCGGCUAGAUGAAAGAGAAUUCCCAGAAGCCCGGAAUGCUCCUCUGAAGUACACUUCAGCACUGACACAUGAUGCCAUCCUGGUGAUAGCAGAGGCCUUCCGGUACCUGCGGCGCCAACGUGUGGACGUCUCUCGUCGUGGCAGUGCCGGAGACUGUCUUGCCAAUCCCGCUGUACCUUGGAGCCAAGGCAUCGAUAUCGAGAGAGCUCUCAAAACGGUCCAAGUGCAGGGGAUGACUGGCAACAUCCAGUUUGACAACUAUGGCCGUCGGACCAACUACACCAUAGAUGUGUAUGAGAUGAAAAUAGGUGGGCCAAGGAAGAUCGGGUACUGGAACGAGUUCACACGCUUUGUAAAUAUAAUGGACCCGCAGGUCACCAACGACUCCUCAGUGGAAAACCGAACGAUUGUGGUCACUACUAUUAUGGAAGCUCCUUAUGUGAUGUACAAGAAAAAUUAUAUGCAUCUGGAGGGGAAUGACAGAUAUGAAGGCUACUGCGUCGAUUUAGCAUCUGAGAUUGCCAAACAUGUUGGAAUUAAGUACAAACUGUCUAUAGUAAUGGAUGGGAAGUAUGGAGCCCGAGACCCCGAGACCAAGGCAUGGAACGGGAUGGUGGGUGAACUGGUCUAUGGGAGAGCAGAUAUAGCUGUUGCACCUCUCACCAUUACUCUGGUACGAGAGGAAGUGAUAGACUUUUCCAAGCCAUUUAUGAGUUUGGGCAUCUCCAUUAUGAUAAAGAAGCCUCAAAAGUCCAAGCCUGGCGUUUUCUCCUUCUUGGAUCCACUGGCCUAUGAGAUCUGGAUGUGUAUAGUGUUUGCCUAUAUUGGGGUGAGCGUGGUUCUGUUCCUGGUCAGUCGGUUCAGUCCUUACGAGUGGAACCUUGAGGAACAGGACGAGACCAAAGACCCUCAGACGCCCCCUGAUCCUCCCAAUGAUUUUGGGAUUUUCAAUUCUCUCUGGUUCUCAUUGGGCGCCUUCAUGCAGCAAGGCUGUGACAUCUCCCCAAGGUCUCUCUCAGGCCGUAUAGUCGGUGGCGUGUGGUGGUUCUUCACCCUCAUCAUCAUCUCAUCUUACACAGCCAACCUAGCUGCCUUCUUGACAGUGGAAAGGAUGGUCUCUCCAAUAGAGAGUGCUGAAGAUCUGGCAAAGCAGACAGAGAUAGCAUAUGGCACUCUGGACUCUGGUUCCACAAAAGAGUUUUUUAGGCGAUCGAAAAUAGCCGUAUAUGAGAAGAUGUGGUCAUACAUGAAAUCAGCCGAACCCUCAGUGUUUGUUAAGACCACACCCGACGGCGUGGCCCGGGUACGAAAGUCAAAGGGCAAGUUCGCUUUUCUCCUCGAAUCCACCAUGAACGAGUACAUCGAGCAGCGGAAGCCCUGCGAUACCAUGAAAGUGGGCGGCAACCUCGACUCCAAAGGCUACGGAGUGGCGACGCCCAAAGGCUCAGCAUUAAGGUGGGUGGAAUAAUAUAACAAUAUCCUCUGUGUUGUUAUAGUAUUCCACCUACCCUGAUGUCCCCUGUUGUCAUUCUCUUCUCAUCCUCUCCUUGUUUUUUUAUGGACACAGAGGUAAUGGUAGUAUACUUUUCAAAGCGCUUGGAAACUAAGGUUUUAUGCUAAAAUUGUCUUUUAAAGGAUUUUUAUACAUGUGUUAGGGCUGUUACGCUAAUCAAAUCCGUACGAUACGGUUAAAGCGAAGAAUCAUUUCAUAUUAGGGCUCAGACUCGCCCUCUAAAUCCUGAUUUUUGAUUCGUCUUGACAGUAACGGAUGACUUCUGAAUCAGAAUUGAAUCGUUACUCCUUGUUAUGUAAUCGUCCAACUCAUGAAAAAAUUCAUUAGAUUAUUUGAAAACUAUGUAGAACUGGAAAGAGAGUACUCUGGCACGGUGUGGCUGCUACUUGUCCCUCUGGAAAGGUAUUUGUUUUAUUUUAAAAUGCUUUAUAUUAACCAGCAUCCCUCACUGUACCGUGGCCAAAGGUAGAACCCGGGUUGGUUUUGCGCCCGUCUCUGUGCCGUAAAAUGCGUAAAUCUAUGCUGGCUGGGACCAGCUCCCUCCUUUAUAGCCAGGUAGCUAGCUAGCCGGCUGGGUCUCACCAUCUGCCACGCUGUGUUGGAUCUUACACAACUUUCUCGCAUUCAUUCUGCCACGGUCGCCGUCUACCAUGAACAUCCGUGCAGCUCCUCGAGCAUGGCUAUCGGAUGCCUCCUUCCGCGGAAGUCUCGGUAGAGGGCUACAGCUAUUUGCAUCCAUAAUCCACGAUCAACUCCAAAAACGAACAACCUCUACUACUGCGGACAUAGUCAAAGUCUCAUCAGCCAUAAGCACAGGCAAACAAUGUUGAAAUAUUUUGUAUUUUUUGAAGCAAAUGUGGCGUGGCAGCAGUUCCAGCUCUGAUCAGAAUAAAGUAGUAUAAUAUUCUAAGAUUCGUUCUGAUUCGAGUCCAAAAAUUCUGGUUCAAUGAUUGCUUUUUUUUACGCCCACUCGAAUCACAAUUUAAGUCACCACCCAUUCUUGAACAGCCCUAUUUCAAAUGUCUCUUUAUGUCUUCCUGUUGCUCUUCUCUUCUCCCCCUCCAUCUCUCCUUCUGUCCUACCUGACUGUUGUGUUGUCACUUUUAAUUUAAUGGUUCAAUGGUUUUUCAAUUUAGUCUUUUAAAAGCUGUGCUGUCACUUGUGACAAAUGUUAAUUGCAUGAUGUUUGUUGUUGUUACUUCUCUUCUCAAUGACAAGUGUCCCCAUCCCGCACACUUCAGUUCUAAACUACGUAACCCCUCUUGCCACCUUUUCCAAGAUUUAACAGUCUUUACCUUAAGUGAGCCUCUCUUAUCUUUCCAUAUUCCUGAAAUUCUUAAACCACAAUUUGUCCUUUCCCAGAACAUUCUGAUUAACUGAUUCUGUGCGUAAGCCCCCUGCUACAGUGGAAGCCUCUCUACCCUGACCUAUCAUAAUGAUGCUUGAAAUGCUGUUAACCUGGCAGUUUUAAAACUGAAUGAGCAAGGCCUCUUGGACAAAUUGAAAAACAAAUGGUGGUACGACAAGG